rnacentral:rRNA from 1 species
CCUACGGGUGGCUGCAGUGGGGAAUAUUGCACAAUGGGGGAAACCCUGAUGCAGCGACGCCGCGUGAGUGAAGAAGUACUUCGGUAUGUAAAGCUCUAUCAGCUGGGAAGAAGAAAGACGAUACCUGACUAAGAAGCCCCGGCGAACUACGUGCCAGGAGCCGCGGUAAUACGUAGGCGGCAAGCGUUAUCCGGAUUUACUGGGGGUAAAGGGAGCGUAGGCGGGUGUGUAAGUCUGAAGUGAAAGCCCAGGGCUCAACCCUGGGACUGCUUUGGAAACUGUGGAGCUAGAGUGCUGGAGAGGUAAGUGGAAUUCCUAGUGUAGCGGUGAAAUGCGUAGAUAUUAGGAGGAACACCAGUGGCGAAGGCAGCUUACUGGACAGUAACUGACGUUGAGGCUCGAAAGCGUGGGGAGCAAACAGGAUUAGAUACCCGGGUAGUC